UGAUUGCAUUGUCUUCUCCAAGCCACAGUUGCCAUGGUCACCACCUGGCUGGGGAAGUGGCAGAUGGAGCACUGGCAGGAACAAUAGGUCUAGAACCCAGGGCCACAGACUGGGUAACAGAACAAUCUCCAGGCAUCAAGGAGGCCUGUGCAUUUGAGGGCUAUGGCUCCUUCUUGUCCAAACUGGCAGGGGUUAAUCCUCAGGCACUGAGGUCUGGGGGUCUGCAGGGCUGAGCAGGAGCUCCUGACUAAGCAAGAAGGGAGGUAACAGGGAGAGAGCAGCCAGCCGAGGACAAGCUGCCUUCUAGGCAGCUAGCUCUUGACAGCACCUUUUCAUUAAAUCAUCUCUUUUCAAAGGCUCCAGUCCCCAGAGUCAUUAAGGAUUAGGUUCCCUUCACUGCUGUCUGCUUGUCUUCCAAAGAGCGGCUUUGGUACCUUUCUGAGCCUCCAACAGAUUUUCAGAGCAACCAUCGUGGAAUAUUCAGAUGUUUCUGGAAGACUGCAGGUUCCCAUCUACACCCUUCACAUGAAUUCCGAAAGAAAGAAGAGGCAACAAUGGUAUGUAUUUAUGUAUGUACUCACAUGAAUAACACACAUGUAAAGGAAUACAGGAAGAAUAAACUGGAAACUAAUGGAGGAGGACGAGAGGGACUUGGCAUGGGAAUGAAAUGUCUCCAAAUAGGAUUUUAAAUAUAGUUUUGUGUUUUGAAUCAUUUGCACAUAAUUUGUACAUGAUUUACAUGUUCAAAAAAUUAAAUCAAAUUAAAUUUAAAAAAUAGGAAAAACCCUCCCCAAAUUGUGCACAAAGAGAAACAAAUAAACCUAAUUGUGAAUUAGAGAGCUUAACCACAGAGCAAAACAAACAAACAAAAACACCAACACACACACACACACACACACACACACACGCACGCACAUGACCAAAAACCUAUUCAAAUAAUUUUGAAAAAAAUACCCUAACUGUAAAUCUGUGGUGGGAUAUAUUUUAAGGACAAAUAAAACUACAAUGAUGUCUUAAGCUUUACCUAGUAGGUUUAUGGUAAAUAGUAAUGAUAACAUGGUAAUUUUGAAGGAAGUUUAUGUAUAUUAAAAAAUAAAGAAACUAGUAGAUAAGAAUAUAUUAGGAAACAAGAUUCUCUAUGAAACAGAGACUCAAGUAUUACAGUUUUAAGAAAAUGAAUUAAAAAAAAACCCACCCGGGAUGUUAAAUUUGAACAGAUUAUAUAAUUAUGAGCUCAUUUUAUUUUUCCUAGCUCUGUCCACUGAAAAAGCCUUGGUGCAGUAACAGCCCAGGAGCAGAGAGACCACCUAGUACCCAGAUCUUGAUUUCUAAAUGCUGUUACCCACCAGAAGGAACUAAAAUUUUCUGCAGAAAUGGCUGACUCCAGAUCCAUGGAAAUGAAGCUCCAUGUUAAGCCUGGGAGGUCUUAUGGUCCCAAGAAGGAAAGAUAUGUUUAAAAACUACUGAGGUCACAAGGAAAGGAUGCGGAAGCUGACUUGAGGGAUCUGCCUGGCUAAGUUCGGG
rnacentral:lncRNA from 1 species